GACGUAGGGCGCGAGCGUUGUCCGGAUUUAUUGGGCGUAAAGAGCUCGUAGGCGGCUCGUUGCGUCAACCGUGAAAACCCGGGGCUUAACUUCGGGCUUGCGGUUGAUACGGGCGGGCUGGAGUUCGGUAGGGGAGACUGGAAUUCCUGGUGUAGCGGUGAAAUGCGUAGAUAUCUGGAGGAACACCGGUGGCGAAGGCGGCAUCCUGGACCGGCAUUGACGCUGAGGAGCGAAAGCCAGGGGAGCAAACGGG
rnacentral:rRNA from 1 species